rnacentral:rRNA from 1 species
GACGAACGCUGGCGGCGCGCUUAACACAUGCAAGUCGAACGGAAAGGCCUGCUUUCCCUUGUGGAUUGCGGGUACUCGGGUGGCGAACGGGUGAGUAACACGUGAGUGAUCGGCCCCCAACUUGGGUAUAAGCCUGGGAUACUGGGUCGAAUUCCCGAUAGGACUGCAGGGUGGUGCCUGUGGAGGAAAACGUUUUUCUAGUGGAUGCGGAUGAGCUCGCGGCCUAUAAGCUUGUUGGUGGGGUAAUGGCCUACCAGGGCGGCAAAGGGUAGCCGGCCUGAGAGUGUGUACCGCGACGUUGAGACUGAGCGACGGCCCUGGCACCGACGGGAGGCAGCAAUGGUGAAUAUUGGACGAUGUGGGGAAUAUUGAUGCAGCGACGACGUGUGGGGGAUGACGGGCUUCGGGAUGUAAACUGCUUUGGAGCGCGAGAAAGCCACCUGGUUGAAAGGGUAGUGACGGUAGCGGUAGAAGAAGCACCGGCUAACUACGUG